UUUUUCAGUUGAAAAUGAAAAGGCAACAUUUGUUCUUUUUUUUUUUUUGGAUGUUCUUUUUGUUUUCAACCUGGAAAUUUACUGAAGAAAGGAAAAACCACCAUGGUAUUCUCUGGUUCUGAAUUCUGUGCUGCAGAGGCAGAGCAAACCUCCCUUUCGCUGGCAGCGGGGAUACAGACAGACCCAGAUACUGGUGUGGGCUCCAAGGCUCUAAUGAAGAUUCGCUCCCCUGUUUUCCUGCCAGGACUGAUGCGCUUCCAUUUCCCAAUUGAAAACAUACUUAAUAGUGACAGGUUUUUGGCAGAGGAAAAGUAUUCACCAGGUUAAAGUCAUUACAGUGGAAAUGCAAGAGUCAAUAUUCCGGUCUGAAGAGUGCCACAGCUUGUAACCAGCACUGCUGACAUAUGAACCCACCCUGUGAGUGUGACCUCCAGACCUGUGACCCUGUUGCUCCUCUGCUUUGUCCCUGAAGCAGCAUCCUUUGAUGAUGAGGAUUUCCACCACCACAAUUUCAGAAGAAUGUUAUACUCAUCACAGCCAAGAAAAUGAUGGAGAGAUUUUGAAGUUAAUACUCUCCACCAUCCCAGCUUGAUCCUUGAGACUACUCUGCAAGAUAAGCUAACUCUCAUUUCCAGUGCUGGAAACACUGAGGUUAGGUUGACCUUUAUGCUGGCCCGACUGAUGAUGUGCAAUUAUUAACCAGCCUACUCACAAGACAAGGAUGGGAGAUGUGAACAAAUAACCAGAAGCAAUCUGCAAAGGACCCCAGCGAGGGGCAAUUUCCAAAGGCUGCCCCAAGAGGAG
rnacentral:lncRNA from 1 species